GUACUCAAUUUUUCAUACAUACAUAAGUACCAAACUUUUUGUUCCCAGACGCCCGACUCGUAUGGCAGCAUGUUGGAGUUGUGUUGGAAAGGAACAAAGACGGUGGAUCUUGGGAACGGGGAGACCCGGAAAUUCCUGAAGGACGGAGACGAUGUCAUUUUCACAGGUUAUUGUGAGAAAGAUGGAGUUCGGAUUGGAUUUGGGUCAUGUACUGGACAAGUCUUACCCGCCCUUCCCAUGUCCUGAGAUUGACCACCAACAGCCAAUCACAGCGCUUGGCUCAUUUAUCUGUUGAACAAAGUAUUCAUAGUAUUCCAGCAUUGUUGUAUUAAAGUGUGUGUUAGAGAAUGGGGAUUUUUAAUAGUCACUGAUCAUUUGGAGGAGAGGGAAACUCAUUUUGUACAAGUGCAUAUAUGUUUGAUUAUAUGUUCAUGAAAAAAAAAUUAAUUAUUUGUACAAUGAAAUCUAUUGACUAUCUUUGUUUUUCAUGGGUAUGUGUUAGUGUAUAAUAAAUAUGAGUUUAAAAUUA